rnacentral:rRNA from 1 species
AGAUUGAACGCUGGCGGCAUGCUUUACACAUGCAAGUCGAACGGUAACAGGCCGCAAGGUGCUGACGAGUGGCGAACGGGUGAGUAAUGUAUCGGAACGUGCCCAGUCGUGGGGGAUAACGCAGCGAAAGCUGCGCUAAUACCGCAUACGAUCUAUGGAUGAAAGCGGGGGACCGUAAGGCCUCGCGCGAUUGGAGCGGCCGAUAUCAGAUUAGGUAGUUGGUGGGGUAAAGGCCCACCAAGCCAACGAUCUGUAGCUGGUCUGAGAGGACGACCAGCCACACUGGGACUGAGACACGGCCCAGACUCCUACGGGAGGCAGCAGUGGGGAAUUUUGGACAAUGGGCGCAAGCCUGAUCCAGCAAUGCCGCGUGCAGGAAGAAGGCCUUCGGUUGUAAACUGUCUUUUCGUACGGAACGAACGUACCGUUGGUUAAUACGUGGCGUAAGUGAACGGUACCGUAAAGAAGUAAGACGACGACUAACUACGUAGCCAGACACGCCGA